AUUCAUAUUUUUUUCUAAAGGAAAAUUCUUAAAGGAUUUGAAUUUUAUAAUAUUCAAAGGACAGAAAUAUUCAGGAUUUAAAUGAUUUAAAUUCACACUCAACAGGAGACUGAAUGACACAGGGAUUGCUGUUGGAUCGUGCAGUCUAUCACCUCCAUGGCACUGGGCCUAUCCAUCUUUCUAGGGUUUGCACAUCAGGUAAAAUUUCAGAAGAAAUUAAUGGAAGAGCUGCUAGUGACUAAAAUCGAAUCAGUAUUUCACCUCCACAUGACAUGGUUUGCUUCCUUCCAGCUAGCAUUAAAUAGCAAGCAGCAAAUAAAGACACAUUGCAGUGGAACCAACAACAAUUGUUUCUUCAGUCUGUGCACUUGACAAAUACCCUAAAAGAAGAUGUAUAAGGAUUCUCUUAUACUAAAUUUAGUAUAGGAAAUCUUUAAUAACUGGAACUGACUAUAAUUUCCUCCUUUAGACUGUUCUGUUUCGAUGUUUCAUAAAUCCUUGUAUUGAUUAACUUUACAUGGAAUGUUGUACAGCCCUAAACACAAGAAAUUAAACUGAAUGUCAGGUAAAUUUUAGCAGAGUUCUUCCAGCCAACACAGCAAAACAACAAAGCAAAAAAAUCA
rnacentral:lncRNA from 1 species